rnacentral:lncRNA from 1 species
AUAGUAUAAAUAUAUACAUAGUAUAUAUUGUCCCUGCCUGUAUAAAUAAUUUUCCAGGAAAUGAUCAAAAGCUUUUUUUAUUAUUAAGAACUUAACAUGUCCUCAUGUUUUUUUCUUAAACGUUUAAACCUUUUGCAUAAUUUUAGAUCCAUGUUUAUAGAGGAGGUACUUAUUUCUAGUUGAUGAGAUUUUGGGUGAUUUUUAACGUUGGUAUGGGGAUCUUAAAUACUACUUUCAGUACUGACACUGAAUUUUAACGUGAUGAUGGUGAUUCCUAGGUACUGCUUUCAGAAAUGAAAUUGUAUUUUAACGUUGGGGGCGG